GACAAAGUGCUAGAGACUGACCGCAGCCCCCGUGCCCUGUUUCCCUGUGCUGCUCAGGGGAAGGAGGUGGAAGAGGGUAGAUGGGGGCAAGGUGUUUUUGGUUUCUUUGUUUGUUUCUCACUGAUCUCACUUGUUAAUAAUACGUAAUAAAUUUUAUUCAUCUCCCUAUGCUGAGUCAGUUUUGUCUGUGAUGAUAUUUGUUGAGUGAUCUCUCCAUACUUAUCUCAACCCUUGAGCCCUUUCAAUAAUAUUUUCCCUCCCUUUCCCUUUGAGGAGAGGGAGUGAGAGAGUGGUUGUGGUGGAGCUCAGCUGCCCAGCUGGCUAAAACCACCACAGCUGGGGAGAAUGAUGCCAACGAGCUCUGUCUCUGCUCUUCCUUCAUGCCCUCUUCAGCUGCAGCUGAAUCACACAACUCUGACAUCUUCCUGGGCAGCCCAAGCAUAAAACAGAGUAAGGAAUAUUCCUGGUGAUUGUUUACUCUGGCCUUAUUAGGAAGAUAGGAGGAGGAUUCACCCAGAACAGCUGAGAUGGUGGUGAGGAUUGCUGGGAGAGAAGGAAGGGAUGGAUAAAGAAAGUAGUGGGAAGCUGAAAAAUGUCAUAAAACUUAGAGCAGCAUUGCUACCUUCUGGGAAUGUAGAGGGUCUCAGAAGUGUGUUUGUUGUAUGUUAGACGUCUGUCCAUCAAUCUAAUGAAUCAGUUCUAAACCACAUUUUUCAAAGAGGAACUUAAAAAUAUGUGAAGAAAUUAAGGAGAAAACAAACAAAAAGUUCCAGUUUAUUUCUAAACACUUGUGAGAAAUCCUGGCCAUUAAUCCCCAAAACAGUCAUCACAUGGCUCAGGACAAUUACUACUGGACAAGACACCAGUGGUCUAGUUUUUCAGAGAUAAUGAAAACAUGCAACUACUUUUCACUUGUUUCAGUAGAGUUUAUAGAUUUGCAGCACUUCUGCAAAACACAGUGUAGGAAACGAUCCCAUUGGCAAAUUGUGGUGGCAAAAUAAGUUUGAUUAUGCCAAAGGACAAAAAUGUUUGUUUGUUUGAAUUUUUAUUAAGUAUUUCUGUUAGAAGUUUGGAUUCUGCAAUUGAGUAUGUUUGCCAGAUCUUCAUUUGCUUUAGUUAUCAAGCCAGGAAGUACUUGUUAAACUCUGGUAGAAUUGAUCAGAUCUGAAAUCAUCUUUAGUUAGCUUUAAUUGAAAAUAUUUGUAUUUCACUUUUCUCCCUACAAUCUAAAUUCUUUGUCAGCAUUUGUUGAAGAAGCAGAGACUACCAGAGGAAGUAUUGGAGAGUACAAUAUAAAAGAAACAAGAGAACUUGCUCGACUUUUAGCAUGGCAAGCCAUUCUUUAUUUCUGUGCUCUUUUGAGCAGGCUGUCACUAGCUCUAAAUCACAACAGUGUCUGAUUCAUCCUUUCUCACACAGAGGAAUGGGAAUACAAAAUAGGUUGUUAAUUUUUCCAGAUGCGUACUUUCUGCUUGCUGGCUUGAUUUUUAAAGAAAGUAGCAGAUACAAGGUUUGUCAUUGCCAUCAUGUUAACUACCUCUAAAGAACUGAGGGCUUAAAAUAAAUAAAUAAAUAAAUAAAUAAAGAUGAGAUCACACAAAAUUAGCAGCCCCACACUGGUUGCUCAUGAGGCAAUUAACCAAUAUAUGGUAUGAGUACCUCUGAAGGAAAUUCACAUAGAAACUCACUUAGUGCCUGUUAUCUGCAUCCCAUGCAGGUCUAAAGUUAGCCUCCAGCUCCAAUUCGAUCCAAAGUAGAAUACAAACAGUAACUGAUGCUAGCAUGAGGCUCUGAAAAUGGAAAUGGCUCUGCAAGUGCUGCUGCCAUUCAUCUCUGUUAUGGAGAUGUCAAAUAUAUGCCCAAAGGCCCUUUUUGCAUCUAUCAAUCCACACUUUUAGAAGAUACAAAACUUCACACUAAAUGUAUAAAUGGAACAAUGAAUAAAACCUAUGUGGGUGAGCAAGAUUAUUAAAUAUAAGAAAAAUGGACUUGAGUCUCUAUUUGUAUUUACAGGCACAUUUGCUGUAACUUCCUUCUGUGUCUGUAUGCUGAAAAACAAUAUAGAGUUGAUCUGUUGUAGAGUACGUUUUUAUUACUUGGCUAAUGCUAGCCAGGUGUUGGUAAGGAAUACAAUCCAUCUGUUAUCAAACCAAGUGGUGCAGUGAUUUUAUUGGAAAUCAGGAUAUCACUCUUGAGAACUUUCCCAGCAAAAACAGAACAGAGCUUUCCUUCCCCCUCCCUCACAAAGAAAAUUCGUCAGAUGCCUGAGCAGGGACUUACUAUGGAGCCCAAGACUUCUUGGAGCCUGGGACAUGGCUUAUGAGUGACCUGCUCUAGUUCUCACCUGACAUGAAGGAAGCUUGUAAAGCUUACUGACUUGUUAUGCUUUUUCACACACAUACCCGCUCACCUCCUCCCACCCAGCUCUGCAGGAGGACACCACCACUCUCACAAAGCCCAAGCUCAGCUGAAGGCUCUGGUGAUCUGGGCAGUGAGAAAUUAAAAAAGGACCUUAGAGUCAAAUGUUCUUAGAAAACAGAAGAACAAAUGCUGGUUGUACGGCCUCCGUUCGCCCUGCCGAGUCCUCUGCAACUGCCCCUGAUGAUCUGAACACCAUCUCUCCAUGAUGCUCCUCUCAGUCCGUGCAGAACUGGACUUUGCAUUAAGAAACAGUCCAGGUGGCAAAUUGAAAACAAGAAGAAAAAAAUAUGUAUUUCUAUACAACUGUGGGCUGCAUUGCUGAGGGACUUUGGGGCAGAUAGCAAACAAGGCUGAGCUGUACAGUAACAGAAAGAAUGGGUUUGUGUCUGCAUCAGCUGAGACUGGUUUAAGUCAUGCCUGUAACACAAAAAAUAUGAAAACAAAUAAAAAACAGAUAUAUAUUUUUUUAAAGGACAGAUGAAGAGUAUUUUUCUUUCUAGAGGAAAAUAAAUUUAUGCUAAUCUCAUUUACCCUGAAACCAAACCACUUAUUAGUUUUAUUCUCUGCCUGUCAUACAGCACAUGCUGUAUCUCUCCAGAAACAAUCAUGCCACCUGACUUUGACUGUACUCCAUUUUGUGGCAACCAGUGAGACAGAGGCAAAUCUCAGUGCUAAGCUUUGCGAGUGGUACAGUUAUCCACCAGGCUCCGAGUCAGGAAAACACUCUAUUGAUUUAACGUUCUGUGCAGCAGUUGUUUGGAUA